UGGGGAAUUUUGGACAAUGGGCGAAAGCCUGAUCCAGCAAUGCCGCGUGUGUGAAGAAGGCCUUCGGGUUGUAAAGCACUUUUGUCCGGAAAGAAAUCCUUGGCUCUAAUACAGUCGGGGGAUGACGGUACCGGAAGAAUAAGCACCGGCUAACUACGUGCCAGCAGCCGCGGUAAUACGUAGGGUGCAAGCGUUAAUCGGAAUUACUGGGCGUAAAGCGUGCGCAGGCGGUUUGCUAAGACCGAUGUGAAAUCCCCGGGCUCAACCUGGGAACUGCAUUGGUGACUGGCAGGCUAGAGUAUGGCAGAGGGGGGUAGAAUUCCACGUGUAGCAGUGAAAUGCGUAGAGAUGUGGAGGAAUACCGAUGGCGAAGGCAGCCCCCUGGGCCAAUACUGACGCUCAUGCACGAAAGCGUGGGGGAGCAAACAGGAUUAGAUACCCUGGUAGUCCACGCCCUAAAACGAUGUCAGCUAGUUGUUGGGGAUUCAUUUCCUUAGUAACGUAGCUAACGCGUGAAGUUGACCGCCUGGGGAGUACGGUCGCAAGAUUAAAACUUAAAUGAAUUGACGGGGUCAUAGCUGUUUCCU
rnacentral:rRNA from 1 species